UCUGGGUAGAGACACUUUGCCACAUCAAGCUACGAGAAAGUAGAUCAUCAUCCUACAGAACUCUACUCGAAGACCGCAUCGAAAUCAGAAGCCGUUUCUAAAAGCAGUCAUGAAGUUGCUCAUCUUAGCACUGGUGGUGAUGAAGGUGGUGUGUGUUCAUGCUGAUUCAGCAUCUGACUCUGUUGAAUCAGGAGAUAGUGUAAGCGCUGCCCUCGAGGAAGAGAGUUGCCAGACUGCAACGGGUAAUCCUAAUUGCCCCACUCGAAAAAGGGCAACUUCUAACGUCUAGUGGAACUUGUGAAACAACACAUCGUCAUCGUACAAUCAACGUCACUCUCAUUUCAUCAAUGACAACGGAAGAUCAGCGUUACUGUGACAGCCGGCAACCUCCCUACCCCCCCCCCUCCCUCUUACAAAAUGAAAUGGAAGCUCUUAUUGCCCAUCAUGUGAAAGAUGUGUUUAGACUAAUAAUAAUAAUUGAUAAAUAGAAAUGAACAUUUAUAAUGCGCCAUGUCUGUCAAAAAUGACACUCCUAGCUCAAAUGUGUGAAGAUUAAAUAAUUGUUGGCAUACGACCAUCAAGUAAUUGAAGAAAGAAUGUAAAACACACAUAAGUUAGAGUUUAACAUACUUCAGGACAUAAUUUGUAAUAAUAGAAUAAUACAAUACAAAGCAUAUUACAGUAAUAAAAGUUAUAUAAGGGUAGUACAAUGUAUGACAUAAUUAAACAAAUUUUGCCGGGAAACUGCUUACUAAUUGAU